rnacentral:rRNA from 1 species
UACAGAGGAUGCAAGCGUUAUCCGGAAUGAUUGGGCGUAAAGCGUCUGUGGGUGGCUUUUUAAGUCCGCCGUCAAAUCCCAGGGCUCAACUCUGGACAGGCGGUGGAAACUACCAAGCUGGAGUACGGUAGGGGCAGAGGGAAUUUCCGGUGGAGCGGUGAAAUGCGUAGAGAUCGGGAGGAACAUCAGUGGCGAAGGCGGCCAUCUGGGACAACACUGACGCUGAAGCACGAAAGCGUGGGGAGCAAACAGG